rnacentral:lncRNA from 1 species
UGGAGAUACCAUUCAUGGAGCUGGAGGUCCCUGGAGAUUUGGGAAUUCAGAUAACAAGCUAAGAUAAGGAGUUUGCCUACCUCUGUCCUAGAGCGAAGCCUGAGCCUUGGGCGCGCAGCACACCACAAGUAUCUGUUACUGUGUUUUGCAGAAGCUUCAGGCGGGGAUAUAAGCCCCACAAGGAAAGCGCUGAGCAGAGGAGGCCUCAGCUUGACCUGCGGCAGUGCAGCCCUUGGGACUUCCCUCGCCUUCCACCUCCUGCUCGUCUGCUUCACAAGCUAUCGCUGGGCGCUGGUCGACGCCUACCCCAUCAAACCCGAGGCUCCCCGCGAAGACGCCUCGCCGGAGGAGCUGAACCGCUACUACGCCUCCCUGCGCCACUACCUCAACCUGGUCACCCGGCAGCGGUAUGGGAAAAGAGACGGCCCGGACACGCUUCUUUCCAAAACGUUCUUCCCCGACGGCGAGGACCGCCCCGUCAGGUCGCGGUCGGAGGGCCCAGACCUGUGGUGAGGACCCCUGAGGCCUCCUGGGAGAUCUGCCAACCACGCCCACGUCAUUUGCAUACGCACUCCCGACCCCAGAAACCCGGAUUCUGCCUCCCGACGGCGGCGUCUGGGCAGGGUUCGGGUGCGGCCCUCCGCCCGCGUCUCGGUGCCCCCGCCCCCUGGGCUGGAGGGCUGUGUGUGGUCCUUCCCUGGUCCCAAAAUAAAGAGCAAAUUCCACAGAAACGGAAUGUA